UACGAGGGGGGCGAGCGUUGUUCGGAAUUACUGGGCGUAAAGCGCACGUAGGCGGCUUUGUAAGUUAGAGGUGAAAGCCCGGGGCUCAACCCCGGAAUUGCCUUUAAGACUGCAUCGCUUGAAUCCGGGAGAGGUGAGUGGAAUUCCGAGUGUAGAGGUGAAAUUCGUAGAUAUUCGGAAGAACACCAGUGGCGAAGGCGGCUCACUGGACCGGUAUUGACGCUGAGGUGCGAAAGCGUGGGGAGCAAACAGG
rnacentral:rRNA from 1 species